rnacentral:rRNA from 1 species
CGCUGGCGGCGUGCUUAAUACAUGCAAGUCAACUUGACUUUAGAUAGCAAUAUCGAAAAGUAGGGUGGCGCACGGGUGCGUAACGCGUAGGUAAUCUGCCCUGAGGUCUGACAUAACCCGUCGAAAGGCGGGCUAACAUCAGAUGAUAUAUAAUCACGACAUCGUGGAAAUAUCAAAUCUUCGGAGCCUUGGGAUGAGCCUGCGUCUGAUUAGGUAGUUGGCGGAGUAAUAGUCCACCAAGCCUACGAUCAGUAGCUGGUCUGAGAGGAUGAUCAGCCACACUGGAACUGAGACACGGUCCAGACUCCUACGGGAGGCAGCAGUAAGGAAUAUUGCUCAAUGGGGGAAACCCUGAAGCAGCAACGCCGCGUGAAGGAUGAAAUACUUUGUAUGUAAACUUCUGUAAGAUGGGAAAAAUAUUCUCCUCGGGAGAAUUGAUUGUACCAUCAGAGUAAGCCCCGGCUAACUACGUG